UUUCAGUAGAGACGGGGUUUCGCCAUGUUGGCCAGGUUGGUCUUGAACUCCUGACCUCAGAUCCACCCACCUCGGCCUCCCAAAGUGCUGGGUAUACAGGCAUGAGCCACCGUGCCCAGUCCUCAUUGGUUCUUUUAAACUCUACUGCACUUAAAUAUAUAAUUCUCCUGAACACUACUUUUGACCUUUUUUUAGCUUUAUGUGCAUUUCUUUUCUCCUAGACUUAGCAGCAGAGACCCUAUCUCCUUUUUAAGAAAUAUUAUCGAGCUUCUACUAUACGUCAAGAACAGUAGUAGGCAGUGUAGGGUCAAAAGGAUGGUUAAGAGAAUAUUCCUGACUUCCAAGGGCCCAGGGAGAUUAUACAAUAUAAUAAGAUUAUAGGUAUUAUAGAGAUUCUUAUAAUGUUGAGGAGAACAAGAUGUGUUCUUCCUGGGUAGUUGGAAAGGUUUCAAAAAGAUCCUAUUUGAGCUAGACGUUGAUUUGAGCAGUUCAGACAAGGAUAGAUUUUUAUUCACCUUUGUAUCACCCAAGGUAAGUGCUGAGAUAACAGUAAGAGCAUGAUUUUGGAAAUCGACCUGAUUUUAAAUUCUGGCUCUGCCAGUUACUUGACAGCAAUCCUAGAACCUGUUGUUUAGCAUCUUUGAGCCUUAAAAAAUGGUGGUAACAUCAGCUGCAUAAAAUUGUUAUAAAGAUUGAAUGAGGAAGAGUAUAUUAUAAAGCAUUUCAAUCAGUGCUUGGCACACACAAUUCAUCAAAUUCGACAUGCUAUUCAUUGUAAGAUGCAUCAUUUUACUACUAAAAAGGAAAAAAUAAUUAAACCAUGACACACCAUUGAUUGUAAGAUGAAUCCCAUUCAGAGAUGUUAAAAUAUGAACAAAUAAGAAAAUGUGAAAUUAUUAAUAAGCAGUUAAGUUAUUCCUGUGUAAAUGUUUGCAGCCAUGGACUGCUAGGAUACACUUCUAGGGUAAUGAUGUCAUGACACUAUGCCCCUUGUUUAAUAACAGUGCUAGACACAAGUUCAGAUAACAUCUUUUCUAGAUUCAACUAGUUUUCUUUGUCAUAUUCCCAAAUUCUCUAAGCUCUCAGUUGUACUAUCAAAUUUUUAGAUUUAAAAGUUUUCCCCAUGAGGACCGCUCUCCCAAAGCUCAUGACCUCCUCCGGUCUCUAGUACAAUAGCAAGACUUUUGUCGUGGGACUUAAUUUUACUAUUCUCUUAAACCUAUAUAUUUUUUCUAGUUUAUAAUUGAUGUUGUGGUACAUCUUCAAGUAACUUUCUGUGAAAGGUGAAUGGGAGCUAAGCCUGUUCUUACGUUAUUAGUAGAAUUAGUAAUAAUAAUAUUGUUGUGAGAGUUCCGCGCGGCGCCAGCCCUUCCGCCACGGCCGCCACUGGAGAGCAGUAGCCAUGGCUCUACGCUACCCUAUGGCCGUGGGCCUCAACGAGGGCCACCAGGUGACCAAGAACGUGCAAUCCCAGGCACAGCCGCCGCCGCGGGCGUCUGACGAAACACACCAAGUUCGUGCGGGACGUGAUUCGGGAGGUGUGUGGCUUUGCCCCGUACGAGCGGCGCGCCAUGUAGUUACUGAAGGUCUCCAAGGACAAAUGGGCCCUCAAGUUUAUCAAGAAAAGGGUGGGGACGCACAUCCGCGCCAAGAGGAAGCGGGAGGAGCUGAGCAACGUAUUGGCCGCUAUGAGGAAAGCUGCUGCCAAGAAAGACUGAGCCCCCUCCCUUGGCUUCUCCCUGAAAUAAAGAACAGCUUGACAGAAA